UGCACUCAGCGAAACAAGAUUACAAACCUAUGCAUGGAAGGAGACAGUCUCACUUGGCAAACUUUUCUGGACCUGAUUAACUUGAUAAGGUGUGUCUACUUCAGCAUCAUACCUACCCUUCCAUUUCCGGAGUAUUGAGAAAGGUGCGACCUCGAAGGACGCACAAUGCAUCGUACCUUGCGCACCUGUAACCAUACCCACCUGUUUGUUUCCAAAGUAAAUAAAGUGCACAAAAUGCAACGAUU